rnacentral:rRNA from 1 species
CAGCGGAGCGUGUGGUUUAAUUCGAUGUUACACGAAGAACCUUACCAGGGUUUGACAUGCAAGUGGUGGAAGCCGAAAGGUGACCGACCCUUCGGGGGCUUGCACAGGUGCUGCAUGGCUGUCGUCAGCUCGUGUCGUGAGAUGUUCGGUUAAGUCCGCUAACGAGCGCAACCCUCGCUGUGUGUUAUAUGUGUCACACGGGACUGCCGGUCUUAAGCCGGAGGAAGGUGGGGAUGAUGUCAAGUCAGCAUGGCCUUUAUAUCCUGGGCUACACACACGCUACAAUGGCCAACACAAUAGGUUGCUAAGCCGCGAGGUGGCGCCAAUCCCAUAAAGCCAUUCGUAGUCCGGAUCGCAGUCUGCAACUCGACUGCGUGAAGUCGGAAUCGCUAGUAAUCGUGGAUCAGAAUGCCACGGUGAAUACGUUCCCGGGUCUU